ensembl:ncRNA ZK525.6 ncRNA
CCAUCAUCAUCACUAGCAGCAGCACCUUUUCUUCGUUUUUCGCAAAUUUAUUUCACGCCUGAUUAACUCAUUCAUUAAGUAACGGCGACCUGAUUUAUAUCUGGGAAAUGAACAUAAUGGAUGAAGAUUUUGGAAGAUUUCUGAACUAUUUCGGAUGGAAAAGGGUUGGAAAUAAUUGCGAAAAUGCCAACUUUUUUGUUUUAUUUCAAAAAUGAUACUAUGUAAAAUGAAUUUUGUUAUAAAAUUCUAUAAACAGUUAC